AGGGUUCUUUGGGUCAGAUAUCUACAUCCCGAGAUCCUCUUGGCAUUGCUCACACAAACUCAAAAAGGAAAAGAGUAUAUGGUGAUCUUCAUAGACAACAACUUGGUACACUUGGAAAGGAGAACAAUGUGAUGAGAAAGGAAAACUUUCUAAAUGAUAUGGAGAUGCAACCUCCAAAGAAAUGUCCUGCUACACAUAAGAACAAAGAAACUUUGCUCCAAGAUGAAAAUGUGCUACCUACGAAAGAAACUGGUAGCGUACAAAAGGACAUAGACAUUGAUCCCCGACACAACGACACACGUUUUAAAGUUUCAUCUACACACAUG